UAUAAUAAGAAGAAGCAGUCACCAACGAACCAUAAUACUUUAUUGUUAUCAUAUAUUGGCCUUCGUACGUAAGCAAUUAUUUUUGUAAUAAUUAAAAUGAACGCGCAAAGUCUUUUGUAAAAUUAUUAUUAUUAGGUAUAUCUAAUCGAUUUGUCGUUUUCCCCUUCUGUAUUUUCUUCAACUCAUUAGAGAAUUUU